AGAGUUUGAUCAUGGCUCAGGACGAACGCUGGCGGCGUGCUUAACACAUGCAAGUCGAGCGGUAAGGCUCCUUCGGGAGUACACGAGCGGCGAACGGGUGAGUAACACGUGAGCAAUCUGCCCUUCACUUCGGGAUAACUCCGGGAAACCGGUGCUAAUACCGAAUACGACCACUUCAGGCAUCUGAUGGUGGUGGAAAGUUCCGGCGGUGAAGGAUGAGCUCGCGGCCUAUCAGCUUGUUGGUGGGGUAAUGGCCCACCAAGGCAACGACGGGUAGCCGGCCUGAGAGGGUGACCGGCCACACUGGGACUGAGACACGGCCCAGACUCCUACGGGAGGCAGCAGUGGGGAAUAUUGGACAAUGGGCGAAAGCCUGAUCCAGCAACGCCGCGUGAGGGAUGACUGCCUUCGGGUUGUAAACCUCUUUCAGUAGGGACGAAGCGCAAGUGACGGUACCUACAGAAGAAGCACCGGCCAACUACGUGCCAGCAGCCGCGGUAAUACGUAGGGUGCGAGCGUUGUCCGGAAUUAUUGGGCGUAAAGGGCUCGUAGGCGGUCUGUCGCGUCGGGAGUGAAAACUCAGGGCUUAACCCUGAGCCUGCUUCCGAUACGGGCAGACUAGAGGUAUGCAGGGGAGAACGGAAUUCCUGGUGUAGCGGUGGAAUGCGCAGAUAUCAGGAGGAACACCGGUGGCGAAGGCGGUUCUCUGGGCAUUACCUGACGCUGAGGAGCGAAAGUGUGGGGAGCGAACAGGAUUAGAUACCCUAGUAGUCC
rnacentral:rRNA from 1 species